rnacentral:rRNA from 1 species
AUGAACGUUGGCGGCGUGGAUUAGGCAUGCAAGUCGAGCGCAAAACCUCCUUCGGGAGGUGGAAAGCGGCGAAAGGGAGAGGAACACGUGGAUUAUCUACCCCUGGAACCAGGAUAGCUGCGGGAAACUGCAGGUAAUACUGGAUAACGUCUCCGGACCAAAGGUGUGAUUCCGUCCAGGGAUGAGUCUGCGUCCUAUUAGCUAGUUGGCAGGGUAACGGCCUACCAAGGCGAUGAUGGGUACCGGGUGUGAGAGCAUGGCCCGGCUCACUGGGACUGAGACACUGCCCAGACACCUACGGGUGGCUGCAGUCGAGGAUCUUCGGCAAUGGGCGCAAGCCUGACCGAGCGACGCCGCGUGCGGGAUGAAGGCCUUCGGGUUGUAAACCGCUGUCAGAGGGGAUGAAAUGCGGGUGGGUUCUCCCAUUCGUUUGACAUAUCCUCAGAGGAAGUACGGGCUAAGUUCGU